GUUUUCCACGUUUGUGGUAAUAAUGUCACCUGAGGGUUUCUACUAGAUUAAGUAAAGGAAGAAACAGAGUGGGAGGGGAAUGAAGUGUGACAAACUCUCUUAUAAAAGAUAAGGCAAAAAUGGCAGUCAAUUAUUGUUUCUGAUAAAUGUAAUGUCAUCCAAUAAUUUAUAGUAAUUCUGAGAACUAUAGCCAGUAAAAUGAAUUUGCAUAGUCUGUCUUCUUUAGGACACUGAUUUUCAAACUUGAAUGCACACUGGAAUCACCCGAGGAAUUUAAAAAAACACCGACACCUGGAUCCCACACAAGGACCCUGAUUUAAAUGGAUAAUCCUCACCAGCCUCAGAGUUCAUGUCUGAAAGUAUAGAGGCGGCAGAUAACCAAUGCAAGUGAACAUGGGUGAAAAUGGAUGAAAGUCCAUCUGGGCUGUCUGCAAAAUGAGAAGAUUCUAGACACUGUUUCUUAAAUACCUUGGAGGCGAGGAUCACAAAAUGCUCUCAGAAGUUUAUGAAAGCUAUGGAGUCUCCGGAAAUAUUCAGAAUUUUGCAUGUUCUGGAUGAAGCCUUCCACCAUUUUAAAGCUCCUUUUAUGGAUAUUUCUGGUUUUGGUCUCAGAUUUUCAUUCUCCAAACAUUCUCUUUAGAUGACCACAUUCACUUUCAAGUAUUCAUGCCAAAUAAAUCUUCAUUUCCAGCCCAGACCUCCCUCCAAACUCUUGGUUUGUUUAGUCACUUGCAACACAGAUUAUUCAUCCAGAUUUCCAUGGGCAUCUCAAAAUCAACACAUCCAAAAUGAAGUUAUCAUCCCUGAUAAUCCUCCUAGCUCCUGUCCCAUUCAUCUCCCUCCCAUCUCUCACCCAUAAAGAAUUAACUACUGAUGUUUCUCACUAACCAACCCAUAAUAAUGACCUGCAUUAAUUAAUCCAUGUGCAAUUCAGAAUUACUUACAUUCAUUUAUCCAUGUGAUAUUUUCACUCAUUAAUCACCAUCGUCUGCAUAUGUAAACAGGAACAACAACAUCCACCUAUCCCAGCAGGGGUUUUGCAAUUACUUUAAAGCCUUUUCAAAUAUAUUUUUGUGUGAUUAAAAUGAUGGAGAUAUUUCAAAUGAAUUCAAGUAUAAAAUGCAAAAUAUUCCAACUUCAUAAACUGUUUACUUCUGGCUUAGAAAAUGUUAAUAUUUUUACUCAACCCAUCUGGCUCUGGAGAUGCUGUGUGUGCUUGAUAAUUGUAUGUGAAAAUUAUUAUUUGCAUCUUUAAAAAUUACUUGAGGAAUGCUAUUUAUUAAACUUGUUAUUCCUAUCUAUUUUUUGACAACAUAAUACAACUUUAAAUUCAAAAGAAAAAUUGACAAGACAUAUUUUAGCAGUUUAAAAUGAACAUCACAGAUACAAAAUGAUCAAAGUAAAAUAUUAUUAGCUGUAGAUGACUCAAAUAUUUCCUCGUCUUACUGUCUUUUGUUUUGAUGUGAUUUCCUUCCAUCCUUAAAAAAUCCUGUAGCACCAUCUGCUCCUAUAACACUUUGGCAUGCUUAAAAAUUUCAUUUCCAGACUCGGCAGUUUUGAAAUACUUCCAUGGACAUUUCUUAAAGAAAAUAAGUUGGAAGAAUUUCCAUUCCUCCCAGCUUGUUUCUUAAUAAACAGCAGACGAAGUACUCAAGAAACACAGAGCUAUAUAAAUGUUUUGUUAUAAUCAGACAUUUCCCUUCUGAUUUUCCCUCUGACCCUGUGGCUAUAUUAUGCCUGAGGAAACAGUAUUUUAUAUGCUAUGUGCACAGUUUAUGCAACAAUUUUUUAAUAUGCAGAUCUGGUUUUAUAAUCUGAAUUCUAAAAUGUAAUGAAUUUCCAUGAAGUGUAUGUUUCAUGGAUAAGCCAG
rnacentral:lncRNA from 1 species